rnacentral:rRNA from 1 species
UGAGGAAUAUUGGGCAAUGCCCGCAAGGGUGACCCAGCAACGCCGCGUGGAGGAUGAAUGUCGUAAGAUUGUAAACUCCUGUUAGAGGGGAAGAAUAGUACCGGUUGGACCGGUAUAUGACUGUACCCUCAGAGAAAGCCCCGGCUAACUACGUGCCAGCAGCCGCGGUAAUACGUAGGGGGCAAGCGUUGUCCGGAUUUACUGGGUGGAAAGGGCGCGCAGGCGGAAUGGAAAGUCAGUGGUGAAAUCCUACAGCUUAACUGUAGAACUGCCUUUGAUACUUUCAUUCUUGAGUUCGGGAGAGAGAGACGGAAUUCCAGGUGUAGUGGUGAAAUACGUAGAUAUCUGGAAGAACACCAGUUGCGAAGGCGGUCUCUUGGUCCGAUACUGACGCUGAGGCGCGAAAGCGUGGGGAGCAAACA